UAUAGAUCUUUUAAUUGAUUGUUAAAGUGAGCCUAUGUGAUUAUUUGAUUUAUUAAAUUGACAAACCCAAAUAGAUUUUUAUGCUUCAAUGGGAAUUAGGUACGUGUUGUUUAUAUAAGAUUGAGCUUACUUAUGUGGAUAAUUAUUAAUGUGUUUAGUCUUUAGAUAUUUUGCUAAAUGGGAUUAAGAGAUACAUGGUCAUAAAUCAACCACCAAUCCAAUUCUAUAUCUUUAAAGUCUUCCACAACACUUUACCAUUUUCAACCUACGCAGCCCAAUUUCUCACAGCCAACUUUAAGAGACUAUUAUCCUAUUCUAUAUCUUUAAAGACGUCCCCAACACUUCACAUUUUUCUUCACUCUCCUUCACACUCAAUUUCCGCAGCAAGUUCACAAAGCAACCACACCACCAUAUUCAACUACUACAAACCAUUUUCAUCAGCAAGAUUUACGAGACAAAAAUUCCACAAGCAUGCUGAAGAAAGUCCAUAUUCAUACUUAUCAAGCUGAAGAGAAAGUCCAUGUUCAUACUAAAGCUGAAGAAUUUUCACGAUCCUCACCACCCCAUUUUUCUUUUAUAACCUACACCAUUUUUCACCUAAAAACCCCACCACUUCACCAUUUCUAAAUUCUGCAGCCUAAGUUUACACAGCAGAUUCGCAGAUUCAGAGACAACAACAUACGCCACAUAUCUUAAGGUCCAGACGGGAAGUGAAAGCUAAAGAAGGAGGUAACUCUACGCCCCUAGUGGGAACGGAAUGAGGUUGAGCGGGUGAUGGAAUGGAGUGGAGUUGAGCGGAUGUACCUUUUGACAUAGAACAAUAAUGUAACCUUGAGUAUACAUCUUCAUAUGUAUAACUCACACGUAUUUCCGCUGAAAGAUACUCUGAUUAUGAUAAUGUUUUAUUUUAAGUAUGAUACUCUUUUGUUGAGUAAUCCACUUCGACGGGCUUUCCCGAACGAACGUCUUGUA